AGCCUCCCGUGUGAGCAGGCACACAUAGAUGAAGAGGGAUGGCGAGAGGACUGGCUACAUAAUUAGGAGGGCCCAGUGCCAAGAAAAUAUGGAGCCCCUUAUUAAAAAAUUAUUGAGAAUUUCAAGAUGGCGACAGCAGAGCAUGAAACCAAGUGAGGAACCUUUUGCACUCUGGGACCCGUAAUGGUUGCAGGCCCAUGAGGCUGGCCCUGAAGAUAGUCCCUGGAUAAAUAGCUGCAGGGAGCAGAAAGGCCUUCUUGACUCACGCGGGUGGGAGCUGGACCGAGGAGAUGGUGCGUGGAGCUGACCUUGCUGUCCAGGCGGCCUGUUUGGUGAGAGCAAGAAAUACUUAAGAUCCGUCCGUGGAGCCUUUAGCAGGUCCGCGGAGCAGGGACUGCCGGGCUUGGUCCGCAGAGGUGCGUGCAUGUGCGCGGGCGUGGGUGGGCGCGCAGGUGGCGGGUGGGUGUGCACGUGGAGCCUGUUGCGUGCGUGCACGCGCGCAUUGUUUCUGCUCUAAACAAGGCCCCCACCUGGCUGUUAGGUCACAGCACGUUUGCGUUUCUUGGGGGUCUUGAGUGUCUUGCCCUGAGCAAAGCGUGCUGGGGGCGGGGUUCAGGCACCUCGCCAAGGCAAGAGGUGAGAUUUUCAGCUUGUAAUAAAGCGGACGCAUGUCAAGGCACCAUUCUAAGCACUUUACUGGAAUUCAAUCAUGCAAUCAACAACCACCCAAGAAAGCAGGUGCUAGUAUUAUUAUCUUCAAUGCCCGGAUGAAGAAGUGAGGCACAGAGAGAUGAAAUCGCCCAGCGAUUGAACUCGAACAGCGCAGCGUGGCUCCAGUAUCUACACCUUAACACACUAUUCGUUAUUUCUUCGACGCCAGAGCCCCCAGACUCCUGUUUGAAAGGCAUGGGUUAAGGGACCCUUUUCACCAGCGUCCAUGUGAAACACCAUCACUUUAGGAAAUCUAAAACCCUGAGGCGGCUCACAGAAGCACAGGGACUUUGGCCUGAACGGGAUCUCUCACAUGGUACUUCAUCAAAUCAAACGGCACCUGCAUUAUAAACCGGC